rnacentral:lncRNA from 1 species
AUGAGAGAAGAAUAAAAGGAAAACAGGGUAAGGGAUGGAAUGAAGCAGAAUGGCAUAAAGAGCAACACGCUGUCCUGUUGCCCUGCUUAUGUGUCCCAGUGACUCUGCCAGCUCUGUUGGCUUAGGCCCUUAGGUCCAAUGCUUGGGAGAUGGGGCAGAGAGAUAACUGCAAAUUUGAGUCCUGUGAUCUACAUAGCAAGUUUCAGCCAGCCAGGGAUGCACAGUGAGGCAGGAGUUCCUGCCCUUGAUGAUCUGGCAUCUCUAUACUUGGGAGGCAGAAGUAGGAAGAUUGAAUUCCACAAGUCUGUGUAAGUGCCAAACCAGCUACGGCUCUGCAGUAAUGCUCCAUGUGGAGGAUCGGGAGUGAAGCCAUCUCACGACCUGACCGCUGUGUCACACUGUCCCCGCCUGCUCUCUGUGUAAGCAUAGCACUUGCACUGGUCCUGACUUAGAUCAAACGAAGAGGGGCCAGGGUUUGCAUCUUUGUUUUUCCCUUGAGCCUCAUAGGCUUCCAUGUUUCUCAAGAAUGCUUUAAGGCUUUGUGUUGGUCCCCAUUUUAUUGUUGUGCCUUUAUGGCUGCUGGCUGUUCUAGAGAGGCAUCUCUAUAGCAUCUUCAGAGGGAAACUGGACUACAAGGAAAGGGAGCGGUGUCUUUAAGAUCAGAGACAUCUGGGUUUUUUAGUCUUUAAAACUUAGUGUUUUUUUUUUUCCAAGACAACCAUGAUUAGCUUAGAAAAAUGGAUGUGUAUUUUCAAAUUAUUUAAAUCUAACAUAAGUCAAGAGACUGCAUUUGUGCUUCAGGAAGCAGUAUUGUUACAAUGUCCCUAUUUAGUAAUUAUUCUUCCUUCUGCAGUAAUUUCAACUCUGUGACAUAGUCCAUCACCACAUCCUACAAGUAUACCAAUAACUUUUUUCCUCACAGAGUGAAUUUUUGAUACUGUACUCGUGUCCACAAGCUCUAGAGGCGUUAGCUUUGAUGCUGAUCACUAGCUGCCAUAGACAUGCCAGAAGUUGCUCUUGAAUUUUAUGAAUCUCUUAAAAGUAAAAAUACCCAUGAAGAUGAAAUUGUAAUUAAAACAAAAACUUUAUCUUAUAUAACUUCUUCCCUGAAAGAGCUUCCAUCCCUGAUAUUUUGUAUACAUAACCCCAUAUUCUAUGUUUCCAGGAAUUGAGAAAGCCCAGUUAUGCAGAGAUUUGUCAGAGAACGAGUAAAGACCCUUCUUCCUCCUCUCCAUUGCAACCCCCAAAAGAACAAAAGCCAAGCACUGUCGCCUGUGGGAAGGAGGAGAAGCAGCUGUCUGAGCCUGUCGAGAGACACCGAGAGCCCCCUGCCCUUAAGUCCACGCCUGGAGUCCCCAAGGAUCAGAGGAGGCAGCCUGGGCGCCGAGCCUCUCCUCCAGCUGCCGGGAAACGCCUGAGCAAGGAACAGAACACGCCUCCCAAGUCUCCUCAGUGAGAGCUGCGUGCCUGCGAGGGCUCUGGAAGAGCUGUACCCACCGUGAGAAGCUCUCCCACUCAGUACGGAAUGAGCCGCUGGUUAGGAGCUUGCAGUGUCUGUGGGGCCCGUGGGAUACCUGCAAGUUACUUCCUUCUGUGAGUCGGAUAUUCCCCCUCUUGGAAAAAAAAAUGUAUUUUUCAGGAUUUAAUUAUAUAAUAUAAACCUUAUUUUAGGUUGGUGCUUAACUGGAGGUGAUACAGAAGUCUGGUGUUUUCAGGAUAGAAAAUGUAUUUAUCCUAACAAAUGGAUAUUUUUUAUUAAGCCUCCACGUGGCUCUGAGUGCAAAGCUAUAAUGAGUUUUUCUAAAUUAAGGGAACUCUGCUACUUCCUUUUUUUUUUUUUUUAAUAGUUGGUCUACAAGUGCGCAUUGGUAGGGUGUCCAGCAGAUGGAUGGGGGCUGAUGGCAGGGGCAGGGGCAGCCUUGGCCUCACAGAGCAAGGGACUGGCAUGUCAGGACACUGACAGACUGGCAUAGGAGCUGUGUUUUCAUCUAAACCCUUAGCAACAGGUAACUCUAGCUUUAAAACAAGAUACAGAUGUACAUACAGUUCUUUUUUGAUCUAGUGGGCAGAACCUGCAAAGAGCACCCUAGAAAGACCUGAAACCUUUGAGUUUUGAUGUCCUGCGAGCAAGUAACCAGCCUCUCACUCCAGUUCCAAGUGGCUACUAUGUAAAAUAAAUUCAAAGCACAUUGUGAAUAGAACCUAGAUGGAAUUAGAAACUGCUGCUGCCCACUGAUGUCAGAAGUUGUACACGAUGUGUGUCCCUGUGAGUGAGUGGCUACCUGGCUCUCAUCCUCCAUGCUCUCUCUGUGUCCCCCACACUCUGGAGAGUCGUGUCUUAGCCAGCUCUGUGUGGAUGUCUUCUUGUCCCUCUGCAUCAGCACGUGGAUUUAGAAGUACCUAGCCGUGAGAGAGUGCUGUCGGUGGUCCCCUCUGGCUUGCGAGGACAGAGUCCUUGCUCUUUUACCUCCAGGACGAGGGUUUUCUUGAUUGUUUCAGAAGCUGCACUUCUGAGGAGCGAGAGUGCAGUCAAGUUAGCAAGUUCAUAAUAAAGUUACAGAUAAAUUAUUUUGUUUUAAAACGCCUAAGAUUUUUCUUUAAGUAUUCUAAGCAGCAGACAUUAAACUAUUUCCUGCUAUAUGUAACCAUACAGCUUAUUCCACAAAAUGCUAUUUAAUGAGACUGAAGGUUGUUUUGGUUUCUUUUUUCUUUUUUUUUUUCUAAGGAAAAAAAUUAUUUCCAUCCAAUAUUUAAAGACUUGAAUUUUAUUUAAACUUGAAAAUGACUUUGCCUUAACUUUUGUAUAAGACAGCUUAGAGCUCACGGAGACCUGCCCCUGGGUUGGCGGGAGUGGAUCGGUUACUCAGUUGCCAUGCGGAUCUCCUGGUGUUGGUUUUGCUGAGAACGCAUACUGUUGUACAAGAACUCCAGUGGUUUUUGUAACAUACCUACAGAUCUUCAACAGUUGAUCUUUUUUCAGAUUGUUGAAAAGUCCUGUAAAUGCAAAUAGUCGCUACUGUGUUAAAUCUGUGCACUUGGGAGUGUGCUCUGCUUGUACAGUGUAAAUAAUCAGAACAUAUGAGAAAGGUACCCUACAGAGAAGAAUCUGAUAAAAAUUAUUGAUAUAUUAUAAAUGUUGCUGUUGAGCUGAUG